AGAGUUUGAUCCUGGCUCAGGAUGAACGCUAGCGGCAGGCUUAACACAUGCAAGUCGAGGGGCAGCACGAGUAGCAAUACUUGGUGGCGACCGGCGCAAGGGUGCGUAACGCGUGAGCAACAUGCCCGUAUCAGGGGGAUAAUCCAGGGAAACUUGGUCUAAUACCCCAUAGUAAUCAUAUCAGGCAUCUGGUAUGAUUUAAAGCUUAGGUGGAUACGGAUUGGCUCGCGUGACAUUAGCUAGAUGGUAAGGUAACGGCUUACCAUGGCUAUGAUGUCUAGGGGUUCUGAGAGGAAGGUCCCCCACACUGGAACUGAGACACGGUCCAGACUCCUACGGGAGGCAGCAGUGAGGAAUAUUGGACAAUGGAUGGAAAUCUGAUCCAGCCAUGCCGCGUGAAGGACGACGGUCCUAUGGAUUGUAAACUUCUUUUGUAUGGGAGCAAUAAGGUCUACGUGUAGAUCGAUGAGAGUACCAUACGAAUAAGCAUCGGCUAACUCCGUGCCAGCAGCCGCGGUAAUACGGAGGAUGCGAGCGUUAUCCGGAUUUAUUGGGUUUAAAGGGUGCGUAGGCGGUUGUAUAAGUCAGCGGUGAAAUUUUCCGGCUUAACCGGGAGACUGCCGUUGAUACUGUAUAGCUUGAAUACGGUUGCUGUGAGUGGAAUGUGUGGUGUAGCGGUGAAAUGCAUAGAUAUCACACAGAAUAUCGAUUGCGAAGGCAGCUCACAAAGCCGUUAUUGACGCUGAUGCACGAAAGUGUGGGGAUCAAACAGGAUUAGAUACCCUGGUAGUCCACACUGUAAACGAUGAUAACUAGCUGUCGGCGAUACAUAGUCGGUGGUCAAGCGAAAGCGAUAAGUUAUCCACCUGGGGAGUACGACCGCAAGGUUGAAACUCAAAGUAAUAUCGUGACUGGGAAACAGAUCGGAAGAGCACACGUCUGAACUCCA
rnacentral:rRNA from 1 species